AUUUUAUAUAAAAGAUAUUCAAAAAUACAUUUUUGGAAUUAAAAAGAGUUGUACUUUUCUGAAUUAUGUAUGGACCAUCUUGAGUCGACUAUUCAAUAUUUUAAAAUUUUAAUUUUACUAUCCAAUUUUUCAAUUUGUUUGAUUUGAGCUAGUCAGCGAUAUUUUGACUUCAAAGUUAAGCUCAUUGCUUACUUUUAUUAAAUUUAUAGUUGCAAGAAUUGUAUGAAAUAUACUAAUUAAAUAUGUAAAAAUAAACAUUAACGCUUUCAAAUUUUAAAGUUAAAAUGACGUUGACUGACUCAAAUCAAAUA
rnacentral:lncRNA from 1 species